rnacentral:sRNA from 1 species
AAGAGAAAAUGGAUAUAAGUGUUGUUUAAACACUCUUAAUCCAUCUCUAAUUCUUAUAACUAGUCAAAUGCAUUGGAUUGUGACACAUUUUUACCAUAGAAACAC